CGAAACGACUACCAUAUAAUCUUUAUACAUAAAUAUCUACAGUAAUGAUCACUGAUCAGUAAUUAGUGGUGCCGAACUCGAGGUACAGGUCAGUGGUCGGUUUUUGAUGGUAGGUUCGUGUGUAGUGCCAGUGGAUUACUAUCGUGCGUUUGAUUUUUGUUUUAUUCGAGAAUGCUCUUAGAUAUACGAAUUCCAGGCCCUACAUUGCAGAACGAUUACCACGGUCGUAAUUUUGGCAUUA